rnacentral:rRNA from 1 species
AGUGAACGCUGGCGGUAGGCCUAACACAUGCAAGUCGAACGGCAGCACAGAGGAGCUUGCUCCUUGGGUGGCGAGUGGCGGACGGGUGAGGAAUACAUCGGAAUCUACUCUGUCGUGGGGGAUAACGUAGGGAAACUUACGCUAAUACCGCAUACGACCUACGGGUGAAAGCAGGGGAUCUUCGGACCUUGCGCGAUUGAAUGAGCCGAUGUCGGAUUAGCUAGUUGGCGGGGUAAAGGCCCACCAAGGCGACGAUCCGUAGCUGGUCUGAGAGGAUGAUCAGCCACACUGGAACUGAGACACGGUCCAGACUCCUACGGGAGGCAGCAGUGGGGAAUAUUGGACAAUGGGCGCAAGCCUGAUCCAGCCAUACCGCGUGGGUGAAGAAGGCCUUCGGGUUGUAAAGCCCUUUUGUUGGGAAAGAAAUCCAGCCGGCUAAUACCUGGUUGGGAUGACGGUACCCAAAGAAUAAGCACCGGCUAACUUCGUGCCAGCAGCCGCGGUAAUACGAAGGGUGCAAGCGUUACUCGGAAUUACUGGGCGUAAAGCGUGCGUAGGUGGUUAUUUAAGUCCGUUGUGAAAGCCCUGGGCUCAACCUGGGAACUGCAUUGGAUACUGGGAUGACUAGAAAUGUGGUAGAGGGUAGCGGAAUUCCUGGUGUUGCAGUGAAAUGCGCAGAGAUCAUGAAGAACUCUAUGUGGUAUGUGCCUAUCUUGGACGUAGUUGACGUUGUGGGGCGACACCUGGGGGGGGAAAUCUAUAAAUACUCCAGGGGGUUACGGGUGAAUUG